rnacentral:rRNA from 1 species
AUUGAACGCUGGCGGCAUGCCUUACACAUGCAAGUCGAACGGCAGCACGGAGCUUGCUCUGGUGGCGAGUGGCGAACGGGUGAGUAAUAUAUCGGAACGUACCCAAGAGUGGGGGAUAACGUAGCGAAAGUUACGCUAAUACCGCAUACGAUCUAAGGAUGAAAGCAGGGGACCUUCGGGCCUUGUGCUCCUGGAGCGGCCGAUAUCUGAUUAGCUAGUUGGUGAGGUAAAGGCCCACCAAGGCAUCGAUCAGUAGCUGGUCUGAGAGGACGACCAGCCACACUGGAACUGAGACACGGUCCAGACUCCUACGGGAGGCAGCAGUGGGGAAUUUUGGACAAUGGGGGCAACCCUGAUCCAGCAAUGCCGCGUGAGUGAAGAAGGCCUUCGGGUUGUAAAGCUCUUUUGUCAGGGAAGAAACGGUGAAGGCUAAUAUCCUUUGCUAAUGACGGUACCUGAAGAAUAAGCACCGGCUAACUACGUGCCAGCCGCCGCAGUAA